rnacentral:rRNA from 1 species
UACAGAGGGUGCGAGCGUUAAUCGGAAUUACUGGGCGUAAAGCGCGCGUAGGCGGUUUUGUAAGUCGGGUGUGAAAUCCCCAAGCUUAACUUGGGAACUGCAUUCGAGACUGCAUAGCUAGAGUAUGGGAGAGGGAAGUGGAAUUUCAGGUGUAGCGGUGAAAUGCGCAGAUAUCAGGAGGAACACCGGUGGCGAAGGCGGGUCUCUGGGCCGAUACUGACGCUGAGGAGCGAAAGCGUGGGGAGCGAACAGG